rnacentral:ncRNA from 1 species
CCUUAGGGGUGGCUAAAAGCCUGAGACACUUCGGUGAACCCUUGGAACCUGAUCCGGAUCAUGCCGGCGUAGGGAUAAGGU